UACAGGAGGUGCAGUAUUGUGAAUUACUGGGCGUAAAGCGCGCGCAGGCGGGUUUGUAAGUCGGAAGUGAAAUCUCACUGCUCAACGGUGGGGCUGCUUCUGAUACUGCAAAUCUUGAGACCGGUAGAGGUUGGUAGAAUUGCAGGUGUAGCGGUGGAAUGCGUAGAGAUCUGCAAGAAUACCCGUGGCGAAGGCGGCCACUGGGCCGGUUCUGACGCUGAGGCGCGAAAGCGUGGGGAGCAAACAGGG
rnacentral:rRNA from 1 species